GUUAGGAAUCUUCCACAAUGGGGGCAACCCUGAUGGAGCAACACCGCGUGCUGGAUGAAGGCCUUCGGGUCGUAAACAGCUUUUGUAUACGAAGAAUAUGACGGUAAUAUACGAAUAAGGGUCGGCUAACUACGUGCCAGCAGCCGUGGUCAUACGUAGGACCCAAGCGUUAUCCGGAGUGACUGGGCGUAAAGAGUUGCGUAGGCGGCUUAUUAAGCGAGUAGUGAAAGCUGGUGGCUCAACCAUCAACACAUUGCUCGAACUGAUAGGCUUGAGAAUGGUAGAGGUAGUUGGAAUUUCUUGUGUAGGAGUGAAAUCCGUAGAUAUAAGAAGGAACACCAAUGGCGUAGGCAGACUACUGGACCAUUUCUGACGCUGAGGCACGAAAGCGUGGGGAGCGAACCGGAUUAGAAACCCCUGUAGUCC
rnacentral:rRNA from 1 species